rnacentral:rRNA from 1 species
UACGAAGGGGGCUAGCGUUGCUCGGAAUCACUGGGCGUAAAGGGUGCGUAGGCGGGUCUUUAAGUCAGGGGUGAAAUCCUGGAGCUCAACUCCAGAACUGCCUUUGAUACUGGAGAGCUUGAGUCCGGGAGAGGCGAGUGGAACUCCGAGUGUAGAGGUGAAAUUCGUAGAUAUUCGGAAGAACACCAGUGGCGAAGGCGGCUCACUGGCCCGGUACUGACGCUGAUGUGCGAAAGCGUGGGGAGCAAACAGG